CCUACGGGAGGCAGCAGUGGGGAAUAUUGGGCAAUGGAGGAAACUCUGACCCAGCGACGCCGCGUGCGGGAUGAAGGCCUUCGGGUUGUAAACCGCUUUCAGUAGGGAAGAAGCGAAAGUGACGGUACCUACAGAAGAAGCACCGGCUAACUAUGUGCCAGCAGCCGCGGUAAUACAUAGGGUGCAAGCGUUGUCCGGAAUUAUUGGGCGUAAAGAGCUCGUAGGUGGUUCGUCACGUCGGAUGUGAAAAUCUGGGGCUCAACCCCAGACCUGCAUUCGAUACGGGCGAUCUAGAGUGUGGUAGGGGAGACUGGAAUUCCUGGUGUAGCGGUGGAAUGCGCAGAUAUCAGGAGGAACACCAAUGGCGAAGGCAGGUCUCUGGGCCAUUACUGACACUGAGGAGCGAAAGCGUGGGGAGCGAACAGGAUUAGAUACCCUGGUAGUCCACGCCGUAAACGGUGGGCACUAGUUGUGGGAACCUUCCACGGUUUCUGCGACGCAGCUACGCAUAAGUAGCCCGCCGUCGGGAGGUACGAUCGCGAAGAAUUAAAACGUUAAAACGGUAAAGUUAGACGGCGUGAGACGUGCCGAACGGACGACGACGAGGGAGGUAGG
rnacentral:rRNA from 1 species